rnacentral:rRNA from 1 species
UACGGGGGGAGCAAGCGUUGUUCGGAUUCACUGGGCGUAAAGCGUGCGCAGGCGGUUUUGUAAGUCAGAUGUGAAAUCCCCGGGCUCAACCUGGGAACUGCAUUUGAAACUGCAAGGCUAGAGUGUGUCAGAGGGGGGUAGAAUUCCACGUGUAGCAGUGAAAUGCGUAGAGAUGUGGAGGAAUACCGAUGGCGAAGGCAGCCCCCUGGGAUAACACUGACGCUCAUGCACGAAAGCGUGGGGAGCAAACAGG